rnacentral:lncRNA from 1 species
GAGAGACAGGGAGAGAGAGAGAGAGAGAGAUUUUCUGUUUCUGAUCUCUGUCUAUUUCAGUGUCAACUUCAGCAGUGUUGACAUUUGGGGGCUUUGUUGUGUGUGGGGAGCUAUCCUGUGCACUGUAGAUGUUCAGCGGCUUCCCUGGCCUCCACUCACUAGAUGCCAGGAGCACCCCUUCCACCUCCAAGUUGUGAGCCCCUCUCCCAAGUGUCUCUAGACAUUGCUGAGGGAGCCCUGGGAGGCACAGUCGCUCCCAGCUGAGAAGGAGUCUGUUCUCUUCUGCAUCUCCCGUUAGCUUUGUCCCUGGUGAUCAUAAGCCAGUAACUGGGGACUGAACUGUCCUCGAGGCUGGGAACUCAAGGCCACACUGCAUCACCCCACCUUUCUCUGAUUCGGGGCAGCCUCCUCAGCUCCUCCAGGCCAAUCUGGGGGAUGGAACUCUGAUCUGGCAAAGAGUGGGAAUGAAGAGAGGGACCAGAAAGAGCUUUCUGCUAAGUGCUCCCGUUGUGGGCCCUGGAGCAUGCACAGUGAUCCGGGCCUGGUUAAAACUGGAGCUACAAGACCAGGCAUGAUGGUUCACAUCUGUAAUCCCAGCACCCUUGGAAGCAGACGAAGGCACAUUGCUUGAGCCCAGAGUUUGAGACCAGCCUGGGCAACGAGGAGAAACCCCAUCUCUAUGAAAAAUGUAAAAACUGGCGGGGCAUGAUGGCGCCUGCCUGUGGUCCCAGCACUUGGGAGGCUGAGGUGGGGGCAUCGAGGCUGCAGUGAGCUGUGAUUGCGCCACUGCACUCCAGCCUGAGCGACAGAGCGAGCCUCUGUCUGAGAAAACCAACAAAAACCAUCUGGAGCUUCCUGGGCUCACCUCCAGCCUCUGGUGAUCCAUUUGAGGCCAUUGUUUUGGGCUUUGAAAACAUUCAAGUGAUAGUGUUGUGUGUCCCAUGUCCAGGAUUCCAAAAUGUGCCUCAGUAGGUGACUGUCCACUCUGCAUGGGCUGCCUGCCUGUCGCUCUCAGGACCCUGCCUUUGCGAAUGUCCAUUCCAUAAGGGCCGAGGGUCUCC